AUUGAACGCUGGCGGCAUGCCUUACACAUGCAAGUCGAACGGCAGCACGGGAGCAAUCCUGGUGGCGAGUGGCGAACGGGUGAGUAAAGUAUCGGAACGUGCCCAGUCGUGGGGGAUCACGUAGCGAAAGUUACGCUAAUACCGCAUACGAUCUAGGGAUGAAAGCGGGGGAUCGCAAGACCUCGCGCGAUUGGAGCGGCCGAUAUCAGAUUAGGUAGUUGGUGGGGUAAAGGCUCACCAAGCCGACGAUCUGUAGCUGGUCUGAGAGGACGACCAGCCACACUGGGACUGAGACACGGCCCAGACUCCUACGGGAGGCAGCAGUGGGGAAUUUUGGACAAUGGGCGCAAGCCUGAUCCAGCCAUGCCGCGUGCAGGAUGAAGGCCUUCGGGUUGUAAACUGCUUUUGUACGGAACGAAAAGGUUUGACUUAAUACGUUGGACUCAUGACGGUACCGUAAGAAUAAGCACCGGCUAACUACGUGCCAGCCGCCGCCGUAA
rnacentral:rRNA from 1 species